GCUGGGCAUGGUGGCGCAUGCCUGUAGUCCCAGCUACUCAGGAGGCUGAGACAGGAGGAUUGCUUGACCCUGGGAAGGUUGCAGUGAGCCUAGAUGGUGCCACUGCACUCCAGCCUGGGCAACAGAGUGAGACCCUGUCUCCA
rnacentral:SRP_RNA from 1 species